UACAGAGGUCUCAAGCGUUGUUCGGAUUCAUUGGGCGUAAAGGGCGCGUAGGUGGCGCCGUAAGUCAGGUGUGAAAUUUCGGAGCUUAACUCCGAAACUGCAUUUGAUACUGCGGUGCUUGAGGACUGGAGAGGAGACUGGAAUUUACGGUGUAGCAGUGAAAUGCGUAGAGAUCAUGAGGAAGACCAGUGGCGAAGGCGGGUCUCUGGACAGUUCCUGACACUGAGGCACGAAGGCCAGGGGAGCAAACGGG
rnacentral:rRNA from 1 species